GCAUAUCUAUUUAGCGGAGGAAAAGAAACCAACAGGGAUUGCCUCAGUAACGGCGAGUGAACAGGCAAAAGCUCAGAUUUGAAAGCCUUUCGGGGCAUUGUAUUCUGAAGCCAGUGUUCUGAGAACCGAUGUUUAAGUCUUCUGGAAAGGAGCGCCAUGGAGGGUGAUAGCCCCGUAAGACAUUGACCUCAUUGUAGAACUCUGGCGUGGAGUCGAGUUGUUUGGGAAUGCAGCUCAAAAGGGUGGUAUGCUCCAUCUAAAGCUAAAUAUCUGCGAGAGACCGAUAGCGAACAAGUACUGUGAAGGAAAGAUGAAAAGAACUUUGAAAAGAGAGUGAAAUAGUACGUGAAAUUGUUGAAAUGGAAGGGUAGGCCGCUAACCAUGUAGAACCGUGUUUGGGGGGAGGAUAAAAGCCAAAGAAUGUGGCUCUUCGGAGUGUUAUAGCUUUGGUCAAUACUCCCAUCCGGGCGCGAGGAUCUCAGGUUCUACUAAAUGGUGGUCUACCACCCGUCUUGAAACACGGACCAAGGAGUCUAUUGCCUGCGCGAGUAUUUGGGUGGCAAACCCAUAUGCGAAGUGAAAGCGAGUGGUUCCAACCUUCGGGGGCAGAAUCAGCCGACCGUUUGAAGAAACGGAUUGAGUGGAGCGUGGGUGAUGGGACCCGAAAGAUGGUGAACUAUGCCUGAAUAGGGUGAAGCCAGAGGAAACUCUGGUGGAGGCUCGUAGCGGUUCUGACGUGCAAAUCGAUCGUCAAAUUUGGGUAUAGGGGCGAAAGACUAAUCGAACCAUCUAGUAGCUAGGAUACCUGCCGAAGUU
rnacentral:rRNA from 1 species